rnacentral:rRNA from 1 species
AUUGAACGCUGGCGGCAGGCCUAACACAUGCAAGUCGAACGAGUGGCGGACGGGUGAGUAAUGUCUGGGAAACUGCCCGAUGGAGGGGGAUAACUACUGGAAACGGUAGCUAAUACCGCAUACCAUCGGAUGUGCCCAGCGGGGAUUCGCUAGUAGGUGGGGGAACGGCUCACCUAGGCGACGAUCCCUAACUGGUCCGAGAGGAUGACCGGCAACAGUGGAACUGAGAAACGGUCCAGACUCCGACGGGAGGCAGCAGGGGGGAAUAUUGGACAAUGGGCGCAAGCCUGAUGCAGCCAUGCGGCGUGUAUGAAGAAGGCCUUCGGGUUGUAAAGUACGUUAAGCGAGGAGGCGUUACUCGCAGAGGAAGCACCGGCUAACUCCGUGCCAGCAGCCGCGGUAAUUC